AAUAUAAGGGCCCCUUCUACGUGCUCAAGAUUAAAAAAAAAAAAAAGGAAAAAGUAGCUCUCACAUGCUUUUGGCAAGUUUUUGAACCAGCUGAUGUAUGGGCCAGGUGAUGUAUGGACCCCUGAUAUAUGGAGCAGCUGAUGUAUGGACCCCUGGUAUAUAGACCACUGAUGUGUGAACCUCCUGAUGAGUGACCCACCAAUAUAUGGACCAGUUGAUGUAUGGACCCACUGAUGUAUGGACCAGCUGAUGUAUGCACCCAC
rnacentral:lncRNA from 1 species